rnacentral:lncRNA from 1 species
UGGGCAUGUGGCACACAGCCCCCGAGCCGUUACACGACUAGUUUGGUGAGUAUAAGGGUCAACCUUUGGUCAACAAGACCAUCCAUCAACAAUAACCUUAUCUAUUUCAAAAAUAGUGGUAAUUGCCAAUUAGGUGCGAAAUCUUCGAGUCCAUUAACCGAAAUUUUCCUUUAAUAACCAGAAUAGAAUAUUCCAUUUUACCUACGCCACCUGCUCAUUCAACUUCCGUACUGUAGCUCUAGCACCACCGCUGCCCGAUCCUCGAGCUCUAGCGCCGCCGUCCCCCACCA